rnacentral:rRNA from 1 species
GCCGCCGCGGUAAACCAGCUCUUCAGUGGUCGGGACAAUUAUUGGGCUUAAAGUGUCCGUAGCCGGUAUAGUAAGUUCCUGGUAAAAUCGGGUAACUUAACUAUCCGUGUGCUAGGAAUACUGCUAUACUAGAGGGCGGGAGAAGUCUGAGGUACUGCAGGGGUAGGGGUGAAAUCCUAUAAUCCUUGCAGGACCACCGGUGGCGAAAGCGUCAGACUGGAACGCGCCUGACGGUGAGGGACGAAAGCCAGGGGAGCGAACCGGAUUAGAUACCCGGGUAGUCCUGGCCGUAAACGAUGCAUACUAGGUGACGGCACGGCCAUGAGCCGUGUCGGUGCCGUAGGGAAACCGUUAAGUGUGCCGCCUGGGAAGUACGGUCGCAAGGCUUAAACUUAAAGGAAUUGGCGGGGGAGCACCACAAGGGGUGAAGCCUGCGGUUCAAUUGGACUCAACGCCGGGAAACUUACCGGGGGAGACAGCAGAAUGAAGGUCAGGUUGACGACCUUACCUAACAAGCUGAGAGGAGGUGCAUGGCCGUCGCCAGUUCGUGCUGUGAGGUAUCCUGUUAAGUCAGGCAACGAGCGAGACCCGCACCUUUAGUUGCCAGCAGGAAGUUACGACUUCGUUGGGCACACUAAAGGGACUGCCGAUCGAUAAGAUGGAGGAAGGAGCGGGCAAAGGCAGGUCAGUAUGCCCCGAAACCCCCGGGCUACACGCGGGCUGCAAUGGUAUGAACAAUGGGCUGUGACUCCGAGAGGAGAACCCAAUCCCUAAAUCAUAUCUCAGUUGGGAUUGUCGACUGUAACUCGUCGACAUGAACGUGGAGGAAUCCCUAGUAAUCGUGUGUCAUCAUCGCACGGUGAAUGCGUCUCUGCUCCUUGCACACACCGC